rnacentral:lncRNA from 1 species
CUAGAAUGCAAGGAGAGGUGGUGGAGAUGGGAUUAUAGGAGACCAGAGGAGGACAGGACAAUGGGGAAUUGAGGAGAAAGGGGACUGAAGGGGUGGGGAGAGGAGACGGGAGAAAGAGAGGAAAGAGAAGGGACGAGGUUAAGGCAAGGGGAGAUGAGGACAGGGGAGGAGAAUCGAGGCGAUGUGGGGAGAAGGAAGACAUGGAGAGGGGAGACAAGACUAGAUGAGGGAACAGCAUUGCCUCCUUAAGUCUUGGUGUUGAGGGCAUUAAUAUAGCCCAGGCUCCACACAGAGACCCAGCCUGAGAUCAUCUUCCUCUCUGUAGAAGAUAAGGCUUUAGGCUGGACACCACUGCCUGCACACAUUACAGGUCUCCAUAGGAGGCUGAGGAGGCCAUUCCAGAUCACUGGUCCAGGCGGGCUCCCAGAGUCCUGACUGAAGGCUGGCUGAAUGGACUUCAUUGGCUAGUCUGACAGUGAGUUGGAAGAAGAGGAUGAGAUUGACCCUCAGCCAGCCCUAGGAACAGUCCACCAGCAGCCAGCACCAGGACCAGCACAUCAGCAGCCAGCCUCAGCACCAGUCCAUCAGCAGCCAACCCCAGGAUCAGCUCAUCAGCAGCCAGCCCCAGCACCAGUCCAUCAGCAGCCAGCCCCAGGACCAGCCCAUCAGCAGCCAGCCUCAGCACCAGUCCAUCAGCAGCC